ACAUUACAAUACUCUAUUGUAACUUGCUCUCUGCUCUACAUUCUAACCUAAAACUUCAUCAGUCUAGAUUACACUUCUCGUAUUUGUGCUCAAAAUUAAUAUAUUAAAGUGACGAAGGAAAAAGUGUAAAUCAUCUGCAGUAAAACCCUUUUUAAUUGUGUUUUUUGCUGAUAUUAUUGCAGAAACCCAACUGAGAUUUUACUUCGACAAGGAGUAGAAAAAUAAAGAUUAUUUAUUCUAUUAACACUUACAAUGGACCACACAGAUUAUUUUUGAACUUAAAGAGUCUUACCGUUUUAAUUGGUUGCAAUUUUAAUAUAAAUACAGUUAGUUAUGUUAUGCAGUAAAUGCGACAAAGUUAAUUAAAAAAAACCGCUUAUUCACAUAUGAAUAAGUCCGAUAAAAUCCAUGGAAAAUUAUAAUAUGUACAUGGACAUUUUAAUUGAAACAUUUACGAAUAAGAUUAGUUGUUAAUAAAUACAUCAGCGAUCUUAAUCAUUCUAUUUUAUUCAUUGGCGUCGCUCUUGACGUUAUCAUUGGAAGAAUAAUUUCAUUAUGAUUUUUUCAUCUUAUUUCUUUUGGCUAACGCUGCUGGAAGUUUCAUACAUGUUAACCCCGCAGCUGGUUUCUUCAAAUUUUCUUGACGACUUUAUAGAGGAUGUGAAAACUUAUCGUCCUUACACGAGGAGACCAAGGCCGAGGGACAAACCAGUCGGUGAGCGUUCAAGAUAUGCGGCCAAGAAAUUUAAAUUACCAAAAUUUAAAGCGCCCGUAACAACUACCCCAUUACCGACUACUGUCAGUACUACGACUGAAGCACCAAAAACAGAUGUCGAAGUCAUUUUUCCUGAUGAAACGAAAACACUAUCAUUUGAUUCUCCAGCAAAAGUAAACUUCACUUUCGAUUUUUCAAUAGAAGGUAUGAAAAAACUAUCAUUUACUUACGAAGAACCACAAAAAUCAAAUCUGGAAAAACUACAGACUCCCGACUCGAAGUCUAAAUAAAAAAAAAAAUCUAAUAAA